rnacentral:rRNA from 1 species
AUGCAUAGAAAAAAAAGUCCACAACAGAUAACUAAAACAUUGGUUGUUAUCAACUGUGAUCACCAACCUCACAACGAUGCUAUGAAUUCUCAUACUCAGUGUAAUAUAUCGCAUCUGACGAAAAGUGGCUUUGGACUUCUUCCAGCCUACCACUUCAUCAUGUACUACCUAUUCAAAAUAGCAAGAGUGUAUAGUAAGAAACUGGACAAGAACCAUCCCCUGGAAGCUCCUGUUCUACCCCAGCAAGAACAGACACAUCUUCUGCGACCGUACGUAGGUACGAAAGCGCCGGCAAAGCACACCAAGGCACCAGGCUUGCAAAACAGGUAUAACGGUCGAAAUAAGAGCAGACAUCCCGCUCACACGCAACCACCAAAUAUAAGCAUAAAACGGAAGUCACACGAGACUGAAAAAUAA